GGUUUGAUUAUGGCUCAGGUCAGACAUGGCGGAUGCUUUACACAUGCAAGUCGAACGGCAGCACGGACUUCGGUCUGGUGGCGAAGUGGCGAACGGGUGAGUAAUGUAUCAGGGCGCAAUUACCCGCAGUAGCGGGGGAUAACUACGCCGAAAGCGUAGCAGCUAAUAUACAUUCCCUUCGGGGGAAAGCGGGGGACCUUCGGGCCUCGCACUAUUAGAGCGGCCGAUAUCGGAUUAGCUAGUUGGUGGAGUAACGGCUCACCAAGGCGACGAUCCGUAGCUGGUUUGAGAGGACGACCAGCCACACUGGGACGGACACGGCCCAGACUCCUACGGGAGGCAGCAGUGGGGAAUUUUGGACAAUGGAAAUUUACCGGUCCGGCUGUGUCCGUGUGCGAUGAAGGCCUUCGGGUUUGUAAAAGGCACUUUUUGGCAGGAAAGAAACGGCACGGGAUAAUACCCCGAUACAGCUGACGGUACCUGCAGAAUAAGCACCGGCUAACUACGUGCAGCAGCCGCGGUAAUACGUAGGGUGCAAGCGUUAAUCGGAAUUACUGGGCGUAAAGCGUGCCAGGCGGUUCGGAAGAAAGAUGUGAAAUCCGGAGCUUAACUUUGGAAACCAGAGUGCCAACUACCGAGCUAGAGUGUGUCAGAAAGGGGUGGGAUUCGCAAAGCAGGUGGGAGUGGUAAAAUCUCUGGAAGGACUUUGCGUACAAUGUUUGAAGGUGGCAUGUGGGAUCUUUCUGGCGCUCAUGCACGAAAGCGUGGGAGCAAACGGGAUUGAAUAUGGUAGUCCACGCCACUAACGAUAUCAACUAGCUGUUGGGGCCUUCGGGCCUUGGUGGCGCAAUUAAAGUUGACCGCCUGGGGAAGUACGGUCGCAAAGAUUAAAACUCAAAGGAAUUGACAGGGACCGCACAAGCGGUGGAUGAUGUGGAUUAAUUCGAUGCAACGCGAAAAACCUUACCUACCCUUGACAUGUCUGGAAUCCCGGUUGGGAGUGCUCGCAAGAACCGGAACACAGGUGCUGCAUGGCUGUCGUCAGCUCGUGUCGUGAGAUCUGGCUGAUUGCGAUCGCAACGAAGCGCCAACGCUGUCAUUAGUUGCUACGAAGGGCGCUCUAAUGAGACUGCCAUUAAACCGGAGGAAGGUGGGGAUGACGUCAAGUCUCCCAUGGCCCUUAUGGGUGGGGCCCGCGUCCAUACAAUGGUCGGGACAGAGGGUCGCCGGCCGCGAGGGGAAUGAUCCAGAAACCCGAUCGUAGUCCGGAUCAUGAUCUGCAACUCGACCGUGAAGUCAGGAUCGCUAGUAAUCGCGGAUCAGCAUGUCGCGGUGAAUACGUUUCCCGGAGUCAUGUACACACCGCCGUCCCUUCGCCUUCGGAACGGUUUUGCCAAGUAGUUAGCCCUAACUGGCAGGAGGGCGGUGCCACGGUAGGAUUCAUAGGCGCAGGGAUGAAGUCGUAACUCACGGGUAA
rnacentral:rRNA from 1 species